UCGAGCGGCGAACGGGUGAGUAACGCGUGGAUUAUCUGCCCUGAGGUGGGGGAUAACCCGGGGAAACUCGGGCUAAUACCGCAUAACAUCGUGAGAUCAAAGGGGGCGCAAGCUCCCACCGCAGGAGGAGUCCGCGUACGAUUAGCUAGUUGGUAGGGUAAUGGCCUACCAAGGCGACGAUCGGUAGCCGGCCUGAGAGGGUGAUCGGCCACACUGGAACUGAGACACGGUUCAG
rnacentral:rRNA from 1 species